rnacentral:rRNA from 1 species
CACCGGAUCCCAUCAGAACUCCGAAGUUAAGCGUGCUUGUGCGAGAGUAGUACUAGGAUGGGUGACCUCCUGGGAAGUCCUCGUGUUGCACCCCU